rnacentral:rRNA from 1 species
AGAAUCAACGCUGGCGGCGUGCCUAACACAUGCAAGUCGAACGCGAAAGCCCCGCAAGGGGCAAGUAGAGUGGCAAACGGGUGAGUAACACGUGGGUGACCUGCCUUCGAGCGGGGGAUAACGUUCCGAAAGGGACGCUAAUACCGCAUAACAUCCUGCCUUUGAAGAGGUGGAGAUCAAAGCUGGGGAUCGCAAGACCCGGCACUUGAAGAGGGGCCCGCGCCUGAUUAGCUAGUGGUGGGUAAUGGCCUACAAGGCAACGAUCAGU